CCUACGGUGCGCAGCAGUGAGGAAUAUUGGUCAAUGGACGCAAGUCUGAACCAGCCAUGCCGCGUGCAGGAAGACGGCUCUAUGAGUUGUAAACUGCUUUUGUACGAGGGUAAACGCAGAUACGCGUAUCUGUCUGAAAGUAUCCUACGAAUAAGGAUCGGCUAACUCCGUGCCAGCAGCCGCGGUAAUACGGAGGAUUCAAGCGUUAUCCGGAUUUAUUGGGUUUAAAGGGUGCGUAGGCGGUCGGAGAAGUUAGAGGUGAAAUCCCGGGGCUCAACUUCGGAAUUGCCUCUGAUACUGUUCGGCUAGAGAGUAGGUGCAGUAGGCGGAAUGUAUGGUGUAGCGGUGAAAUGCUUAGAGAUCAUACAGAACACCGAUUGCGAAGGCAGCUUACCAAGCUACUUCUGACGUUGAGGCACGAAAGCGUGGGGAGCAAACAGGAUUAGAUACCCGGGUAGUC
rnacentral:rRNA from 1 species